CAACGUGAGCAACCUGCCUUUCANAGGGGGAUAACAGUUGGAAACGACUGCUAAUACCGCAUAACGCUGCGAUGGGGCAUCCCGAUGCAGCCAAAGGAGCAAUCCGCUGGAAGAUGGGCUCGCGGCCGAUUAGCUAGUUGGUGGGGCAACGGCCCACCAAGGCGACGAUCGGUAGCCGGACUGAGAGGUUGAUCGGCCACAUUGGGACUGAGACACGGCCCAGACUCCUACGGGAGGCAGCAG
rnacentral:rRNA from 1 species